rnacentral:tRNA from 1 species
GGGGCCGUAGCUCAGCCAGGCAGAGCGGCGGGCUCCAGACCCGUAGGUCGGGGGUUCAAAUCCCUCCGGCCCCACCA